GUUAAGGGGGUUGUUGUCUGGUUCAAGGUCUCCACAUACAUCAUAUACAUGGAGAGCAUGAUAUGGAUUGUACGGUUUGGUGAUCUCGGACCAGGCUUCAAUCCCUUUAAC
rfam:Triticum aestivum genome assembly, contig: Triticum_aestivum_CS42_TGACv1_scaffold_640727_T_5BL-0.209143_7BS-0.153329